GUCCGUGUGUCAGGAAGGUCAUGGUGCUAGUCUGGUAGACUUGGCGUCCGGCAAAAAUAUCUCGUACGCAAUGGAUUCUACCAGUUACAUCCUUUUUAAAGGAAACAAAAGGCUAACGCUUAGGGAGGACGACAUGAAUGGUAAUAAAAUCGCCAGAAUAUUCCAGGUAUAUGCGCCGAGCCUGUACAUAACCAAUGAUGACAAUGUGGCCAUAUUCCCUGGUUGGGCUGGACAUUUCAGCUGCUUGGACCUUAAACCUCGUGGCCACUAUGAGGUUCAUGGGGAUGAUAUUGCUCUACCAGUCGCCGAGCAGACUCCUCCAUUGUCAGGCCAGAACCGUUUCCAGUUCCACCGUUCAGCACAGCCCGCUGCUGCUCUAGGGUCACCUGCUCAGGCCAUUGCUCCCACUCCCCCCCGAGCAAGCAUGAGUAACACCUUCCAAAGGUCUGUUUUCAUUGCUGAGCUCAGCCAGGGGAAACUGAAGCCUGCCCGCAUGGUUGUACUCUGACUGAGUUUGAAGCCACAACCACAGGUAUCCUUGCAAAAUUACAUGAUGCCCUGCAGAGUGAUGACCCUCUCAUCCUGACUGAUGCCCAGGGAAAUGAGAUUGUGGACUCCGAAGGGACAAGAGGAUCCAAGUACUGGAAGCAAAAUGCAAAAAAGUUUCUUGCUGUCCCAGAGCAGAUCUUCCAUGAGUUCCAGCAAGGAACAAAGGGAAAGAAACUGAACCAUAAAGAUAUGGACUCCACAAGUCUUCAGGGGGUCUAUGAUAAAAUAGAAGAAGUGAUCUUGGCUGCUCAAGGACUGAAUGAAGUCACCAGAGUCAUGAAGGACCUGUCAACACAUGCCAGCAACACCAGGGGUGCCAUGCUGGUUCUGACCAACACCAUGAUAACACACAUGAAGGAUGCCUUUGGUUGUAUUGUAUGCAAAGGGCUAUUGGAAGAGCCUGUGAUUGCCGUAUGCUGCAAAAGCUUCGUUGGCUGCAAAAACUGCGUUGACCAGUGGAUGCUGACAUCCGACCAGUGCCUCAAAUGCAGGGCAGAUGAGUUCUCUGUCAGUGUUCACAGGCUGACCAGUCUUGACAAUCUUCUCUCCAUACUGGCUGGUGUAAUUAAGAUGGAUUUACCCUUUAAGUGUGAUUGUAUCACAUUCUGAUUUAAGCUUGAUCUGGCUAAUUGCCUUGUUCUAAAGUCAGUUGGAAUUUUGCACUUGUUCAAUAACUGUAGAGGAUACAGAAUAGUUUUAUUUUUAUACAUUUUUUUUUGUAUUUCAUGUUGCACUUAGACCAAUAUUGCUAUUAUAGCAAUUUUAGCAAGUGUUCAAUUUUAUUUAUUAAAGGAAAGUAACAGAAUAUCUACUAUAUCCAGAAACAACUGGUCUUUAUUUGACAUGUUCA
ensembl:lncRNA